rnacentral:rRNA from 1 species
UACGUAGGGUGCAAGCGUUGUCCGGAAUUAUUGGGCGUAAAGAGCUCGUAGGCGGUCUGUUGCGUCGGCUGUGAAAACCCGGGGCUCAACCCCGGGCCUGCAGCCGAUACGGGCAGACUAGAGUUCGGCAGGGGAGACUGGAAUUCCUGGUGUAGCGGUGAAAUGCGCAGAUAUCAGGAGGAACACCGGUGGCGAAGGCGGGUCUCUGGGCCGAGACUGACGCUGAGGAGCGAAAGCGUGGGGAGCGAACAGG